rnacentral:rRNA from 1 species
AACGCUGGCGGCGUAGCUUAACACAUGCAAGUCGAACGGAAAGGCCGUCUGCUGCAGAGGUACGUCGAGUGGCGACGGGUGAGUAACACGUGGGUGAUCCUGCCCUGCACUUCGGGGAUAAGGCCUGGGAAACUGGGUCUAAUACCGGAUAGGACGAUGGUUUGGAUGCCAUUGUGGAAAGUUUUUUCGGUGUGGGAUGAGCUCGCGGCCUAUCAGCUUGUUGGUGGGGUAAUGGCCUACCAAGGCGUCGACGGGUAGCCGGCCUGAGAGGGUGUACGGCCACAUUGGGACUGAGAUACGGCCCAGACUCCUACGGGAGGCAGCAGUGGGGAAUAUUGCACAAUGGGCGCAAGCCUGAUGCAGCGACGCCGCGUGGGGGAUGACGGCCUUCGGGUUGUAAACUCCUUUCGUCAGGACGAAGCGAAAGUGACGGUACCUGGAUAAGAAGCACCGGCUAACUACGUG